rnacentral:rRNA from 1 species
GAUGAACGCUGGCGGCGUGCUUAACACAUGCAAGUCGAACGAUGAAGCCCAGCUUGCUGGGUGGAUUAGUGGCGAACGGGUGAGUAACACGUGAGUAACCCGCCCUUAACUCUGGGAUAAGCCUGGGAAACUGGGUCUAAUACCGGAUAGGAGCGUCCACCGCAUGGUGGGUGUUGGAAAGAUUUAUCGGUUUUGGAUGGACUCGCGGCCUAUCAGCUUGUUGGUGAGGUAAUGGCUCACCAAGGCGACGACGGGUAGCCGGCCUGAGAGGGUGACCGGCCACACUGGGACUGAGACACGGCCCAGACUCCUACGGGAGGCAGCAGUGGGGAAUAUUGCACAAUGGGCGCAAGCCUGAUGCAGCGACGCCGCGUGAGGGAUGACGGCCUUUGGGUUGUAAACCUCUUUCAGUAGGGAAGAAGCGAAAGUGACGGUACCUGCAGAAGAAGCACCGGCUAACUACGUG